UGUUGAGGUAUGAUCACUCUAUCCCCACUUUGUUGAGAGGUUUUAUCAUAAAUGGGUGCUGGAUUUUGUCAAAUGCUUUGUCUCCUUAUUUUG